AUGAGCCAGGGGCAGCAGAGGAGGCCGUCGUCUGACCAAGCCCAGGCGGACGGCGGCGGGCAGAGCCAGGAACAGGGAGGAGGCGCCGUCCGCUACGGCGACGUGUUCCUGGCCGUGACCGGCGGCCUCGCGGAGAAGCCCGUGGCGCCGCAGGACGCGGCCACGAUGCAGUCGGCGGAGAACCUCGUGUUCGGGGAGACGAUCAAGGGCGGGCCGGCGGCCACCAUGCAGUCCGCGGCCAUGCGGAACGAGCGCAUGGGCGUCGUCGGCCACGACCAGGCCACGGACGCCACAGCCGAGCAGGGCGUCACCGUGUCCGAGACCUGCGUCCCCGGCGGACGCAUCGUCACCGAGUUCGUCGCCGGGCAGGUCGUCAGCCAGUACCUCGCGCCGGAUGGUGCCGACCCUGCUAGGGGAGCCGCUGGCGACGAUACGAAGAUGACAAUCGGUGAGGCGCUGGAGGCGGCAGGUUAUGCUGCAGGAGACAGGCCGGUGGAGCACAGCGACGCGGCGGCCAUCCAGGCGGCCAAAGUGAGAGCCACCGGGCAGGACGUCUAUAUCCCCGGGGAUCUGGCCGCGCAGGCGCAGUCGGCCGCCGACGCCAACCUCUGGGCCGCGCGCGACGAGGAGAAGGCCAAGCUCGGUGAAGUGCUCUCGAAUGCGACGGCGAAGCUGGUUGCCCACAAGGAGCGGAAUGCGACGGCGAAGCUGGUUGCGGACAAGGAGGUGGAGUCCGACGACGCGGCGAGGGUGGCCUCGGCGGAGACCCGAAACAAGGACGACAAGACGGUGAGGCCGGGAGGGAUAGCGGCGUCCGUGGCUGCGGCCGCGCGGCUCAACAAGCAGGACGCAUAG
rnacentral:rRNA from 1 species